GGAUAAUACACUUUAACUUUAGGUUGUAUUCAAAGAACAAAAAUAUAUAUAUAUAUAUAUUCACACAAACACAAGAACUACACAAAAUGCAAUGACAUAUAUUAAAUGCAUAGAGAAGGGAUUUUUAAAUACUGAGUUUAGAAAUGCACAAAGGGACAUGAUUGUGUUGUGUAUAAUACAGACUUGAGAUGCAGUAUUUGACAGAAAUUAAAAAUGUGUCAAUUAUGGAAGAAUUGAACUGUUGCAUACUCUUGUUGUUGAAAUACAACAUUUAGAUGUG